AGGGCACCACCAGGAGUGGAGCCUGCGGCUUAAUUUGACUCAACACGGGAAAACUCACCCGGCCCGGACACUGAAAGGAUUGACAGAUUGAGAGCUCUUUCUUGAUUCAGUGGGUGGUGGUGCAUGGCCGUUCUUAGUUGGUGGAGCGAUUUGUCUGGUUAAUUCCGAUAACGAACGAGACUCUAGCCUACUAAAUAGAUCGCCGGUUUACAAACACCGGUGAGACUUCUUAGAGGGACAGGCGGCGAUUCAGCCGCACGAAACAGAGCAAUAACAGGUCUGUGAUGCCCUUAGAUGUCCGGGGCCGCACGCGCGCUACACUGAAGUGAUCAGCGUGCAUUUUAAGCCUACUCUGCCAAGAGUGGGAAACCCAAUGAACCUUCUUCGUGAUUGGGAUAGGGGAUUGUAAUUAUUCCCCUUGAACGAGGAAUUCCCAGUAAGCACGAGUCAUAAGCUCGCGUUGAUUACGUCCCUGCCCUUUGUACACACCGCCCGUCGCUACUACCGAUUGAAUGUUUU
rnacentral:rRNA from 1 species